CAAAUUAAUUGACCAAAAUGCUGUUCAUUUCCUCAAAGUUAUUAUUUUUUAAAUAAAAAAAGAAAAUUUAAUAAUUUAAUUGUUAAACAUGACAAAAAGUUUAACCUAUUAUGAAAGUUUCGACUUAUUCCUUAUUUUCUGAUAAGCGUUAAAGUCUUCGUCGAACGAGAAGAACUGCAUUGAAUUGUUCUAUCCUUUUAAGAUUAAUUAAUUUCUAAAACGUAGUAAACAAGUGGUAAAAUUCGCAAUACGCCGACUAAUUUACCGCAAAUAUCAAAUAUAAACAUCGAGUUCAAAUGUCAAGUAUAAAUAACACGGAUGUCUUUGUACUUAUCCAAUUAGUACCUACAUUAUUAUAAUUAGUAGGUACCGCCUAUAUUAAUAUUUUAAUAAUUGCUCGUAUGGCUUGCUACAGACAGAAGCAGCAGGAUAAUUCUAGAGUAUAAUAGAAUUAAAAUGGACUGCGUGAAUGCGUAUGUCUAGAAUGAAUAAAGUUUGUUAAACAAUUUUUCAAAGAUUUCAACAAUAAAAGUAGUUGGUAAAUGAUUAAUGGCCUUCAUUCGUGUGAAUGUAGUGUAAUCGAACCUCGUACGUAAGUAACAUCGUUGCAAACCAACGUUAUGAUCGGUUUGUCUUGGGCUCUCUAUCUCUUAAGGAGUCCACUUGGAAUGAAGGCGAAUGCAUAUUACAAGCGGACUUUUCAUUGGUACAGUGGCAGACGAAUAAAUCCAUCCACACAUUAUCAAAAUUGAAGAUUUAAGUAUAUGAAACAAACUCGAUCCUCGCAAGAAAAUGUCCGAAGAUAUAUACUUUAUAUGGAACUACGACAUUGACAAAGAAUUCGAGACUAUGAGGGCGAAAGGAUUGUUUGAUUCCUGCUAACUGAAAGCCUGGACUAUUAUUAGCUAGAUUAUAAAUAAUAUGUUCAUUCAAUGUUCACAUAAAGGAUAAAAACAGA
rnacentral:lncRNA from 1 species